rnacentral:lncRNA from 1 species
UACACACACUCUCUCUCUCUCUCUCUCUCUCUCUCUCUCUCUCUCUCUCUCUUCUACACACACACACACACACACACACACACACACACACACACACACACACACACACUCAUCUGUUCAUGCAUUUAUGGCCUGAUGAAAGUAUACCCAAUGGAGAAAAGAAUGCAUGUAACUGUGAAAUAUGAAGAAUGUGAAUGCAUUUUUUAAACUGAGGCAUGAUGUUUAAGUAUGUUAGGAUGGACACCCCGGCUCCGUUUAUCUCUAUAAUAGCCCAGUUAUUUUUACUAAACGAUCAGGACUGGCUCUAAGUGACCUCUAAUGAUUUAAAACCAUUUUCUAUCAUUCCAUGAGAAAAAAUACACAAGUCAUUGAGAAUAAUUGGCAAAACGUAUGAGCUAGUGAACGUUUUAUCUUUAUUUAGGAGACGUCGUCUGCAAGAUCACCUCGGUUUUCAUCCAUUGAUCUCUGAAUAUACGGGAUUGGAUUUUCAGAAGUGGUCAGUGCUGGCCCUCAUGUACUUUGAUGGGAGUAGACUUAAGUCAACAUUGUGGCUCCUGCAACACCACCAGUCUUCAGAUGUGUAACAUGGAUUGUACCCACUUCAAACAAUCUAAAACCUCAUUUAUAAUUUUUCAUACAAGGGGCCUCACUUUAAAACAAGUGCUGCAGGCAAGAAGGUAUGUGGCACACAUCUUCGGUUCCCUUGGUGGACAAGAAAGGACUACAACACAAACACAUCUAAUGUGAUAAGGUAAGAGAAGAAGUGAGAAAGCUUACAGGAAUCCAAAUUGUCCAGACACUAGAAAAAUUAAAACACCCAAAUCUAGGCUCAACAGAGCAUGGAAAUAUGAUGAAAAGCAGGGCUAUUAUUUUCAGUGAGUUUAUAGAUACAUAUGCAAAUAGAAUAAAACUAGGAACAUAUUAAAGGGAUCUGACUGA